CUUUGAUGAUAUGAAUAGUUGUAACGUAGGUGUACUAUUGAGAAAGAGUGAAUUAGUUAUUGUGGGAAACAAUAGAAGGGAUUGAGGUAGAUUUAAAAUAACUUGGAAGGAGAUAGUGAGUAAGAAUUUAAUAACCCUGAAUCUAUCAAAUGAAAUGGUCCAUGAUUGCAUAAAUUGUCGAAAUGAUUCAUAUAAUCGACUUCACCUAGUGGGACUUACAAUUUGAUUUUGUUGUUAUUAUUGUUUGUAUAUAUAUAAUUGAGUUGUCUUCAUGAAACACGAAUAACUACACAACCAACUAGAUUAAUUCCUUAACUUUUAUUAUAUUAAUAGGCAUAGUAGUUGAAAUUUAUAUUAACUUAAAAAAUAAAGAAAAGCCAGAAGUGAUUUUAAUUUUAACCAAUUGUUUCACAACAAAAUAUUUUUUUUUGGCAACAAAAUUUUUUGAGGCGAUUUUAGUUUCCCAAAUUAUGGUGGGAAAUAAAAAUUACGAACAAGAGCUGGCUAAAAGUUGGGAAAUUGGACUUUUUUAGCGGGUUAUUGUAUAUAGUCUUUUAAACUCUUAUUGAUCUUUUUAGCGACGAGAACAUAUAUCUUUAGUGGCGCACUUGAGGCGUCGCGAAAAAGCUCCACGAAACGCAUACAAAAUGGUGUCGUUUUUUGUUUUGCCUUGAAAUGCUCUUUUCCUCUUCGGUCUCGCGCAUCUCAAUUCUAUUUCUCACUUCAAUGCUCCGCCCCUCGUGUCUCGCCUACAAUCAAGGUCGAUGAUUGAGGAAAAAACCCCAUCCACCACUACCAGAGGCCGUCGCCGUCGCCGUCGCACCUCCCCCUCAAGUGUUGCAAAUCAUGAGUUAUGAUGGUGGUAGCUGAUGACAGUUGAUAGAUUGUUGUGACUCUAAUAUGGUGUGUGCCGGCCAAAAAGCAUUCAGAAAAGGGAAAAAAAUGCAGUCAAUCAGAAAACUGUGCUGUCAUAUUACUCCUGUUACCAGAUCUGCUUCAUCCCUGCUUGCUGGUAGCGAUUGCAGCAUUGCGAGGGUUCCCAUACCGCUACCACAUGUCUCUCAGAGCCAUUGUUCCGUCAGUCGCCUUUACAUACACAUGCAGACUCUGGUUUUGGAAUCUCAGAAUGGAUUGGCCCAACCACUACAGUUCUUUUCAACCAUGGCUGGAACAUUCUUGGUCCAAGCUCGAGACCCAGGUAAACUGAACAUGGAAUUACAAAAUGCAAUUGACGAGCGCAGAUUCAGUGAUAUGUGGAGAUUGUAUGAACAACACUUGCUGAUGGAUGGGUUUCCAAGGAAGUCCAUUGUAAGCCAGCUUUUGUCAAGUUCUGCAGAAAGCCUUGAUCUUCAGUGGCUUGAGAAAGCUUAUGGGCUGGUGGAGAAGGCUUUUGACGAGGGUAAACAAAACUUGUUAGAGAAGGAGACUCUUAUUUAUCUCUCUUUUAACCUUGCAAAAUGUGGACUACCAGGUCCUGCAUCAACUAUUCUGAGAAAGUUGGUUGACUCGGAACAAUAUCCCCCGGUGACUGCUUGGUCUGCAAUUGUGGCUCACAUGACACAAACGGCUCCUGGAGCUUUACUUGCUGCUGAGUUGAUUCUUGAAAUAGGUUACUUGUUCCAAGAUGGCAGGGUUGAUUCACGUAAGAAGAGUAAUGGACCUUUGAUUGCUAUGAAGCCUAAUACUGUUGCAUUCAACAUUGUUUUGUCUGCGUGUCUUGUAUUUGGGACAACAAGAAAAGCAGAGCAGCUGCUUGACAUGAUGCCUCAAAUAGGAGUCAAAGCUGAUGCGAACUUGCUGAUUAUAAUGGCACAUAUUUAUGAAAGAAAUGGGCGUAGGGAAGAACUCAAAAAGCUGCAGAGACACGUAGAAGAGGUGCAUAACCUAACUGAUAUUCAGUUUCGACAGUUCUACAACUGCCUGCUUACAUGCCAUCUGAACUUUGGGGACCUAGAUUCUGCAUCCCACAUGGUCUUGGAAAUGCUUCGGAAGGCAAAGGAAGCACGAAAUUCUCUUGCUGCAGCAACCCUCGUACUUGAGUUUGCUGGAAAUGUUGAUAAAUCUCCCAAUGGACAUGUUUCUGGAGUGAUCCAUGAGAAAUCAGAUGGUUUAGAGAAUUCUGAAUUAAUUAGAAGCUCACCCUUUUCUUAUGAAGAAUUUUCUAGAGACCUGAAUUUUUUAAAACUCGAGGCAGAGGCAAAAGAAAUGCUUCAUGCAUUGUUAACGAAGUUGCAUAUGCAAGUUGAAUUGAUUAUGACUGAGCGUGGUAUUCUCCAACCAACAGGAAAAAUUUAUGUGAAAUUGGUCAAGGCUUUUCUGGAAGCUGGCAAGACAAAAAAUUUGGCUGAGUUUUUAAUCAAAGCAGAGAAAGAAGAUUCCACAAGUUCAGCUGAUAAUUCACCCUUGGUUCAAGUCGUUAAUUCAUGCAUUUCACUUGGGUGGUUAAGCCAAGCACAUGACCUUCUUGAUGAAAUGCGUUUAGCGGGGGUUCGUACUGGUUCUUCUGUAUAUUCCUCACUGCUAAAAGCAUAUUGUAAAGCAAAUAAAGCAGGAGAGGUCACGUCACUUCUACGAGAUGCUCGUAAGGCUGGGGUCCAGCUAGAUUCAAGCUGUUAUGAGGCAAUGAUCCAAUCCCGGGUGCUUCAAAAAGAUACCCAAGGAGCACUUCAUAUGUUCAGAGAGAUGAAAGAAGCUAAACUACCCAGAGCUGGGAAUCAAGAAUUUGAGUUGCUGGUUAAGGGAUGUGCAGGGGGUGGUGAAGCCGGCAUAAUGGCAAAGCUCUUGCUGGAAAUCAAGGAAGGGCAGAGAGCGGAUUAUGGAGUUCAUGAUUGGAACAAUGUAAUUCAUUUUUUCUGCAAAAAGAGAUUGAUGCAAGAUGCUGAGAAGGCUUUGAAUAAAAUGAGGAGUUUGGGGCAUGUCCCAAAUGCUCAAACAUUCCAUUCCAUGGUCACUGGAUAUGCUGCUAUUGGGGGGAAAUAUCUGGAAGUAACAGAGCUAUGGGGUGAGAUGAAAUCUCUUGCUUCUUCUACUCCAUUGAAGUUUGAUCAAGAGCUCCUGGAUUCAGUUCUUUAUACAUUUGUGAGGGGUGGAUUUUUUAUUAGAGCAAAUGAAGUCAUUGUGAUGAUGGAGAGAGGGAACAUGUUCAUCGACAAGUACAAAUACCGAACUCUCUUCCUGAAGUACCAUAAAACACUUCACAAGGGCAAGGCUCCCAAAUUCCAGACAGAAACCCAAUUUAAAAAGAGAGAAGCUGCAUUAGCCUUUAAGAAGUGGGUAGGCUUGUUUUGAAGGAGUUCUGACAGCGAGAUUUAAAGGGUCAGGGCAGUUGGUAUGGCGACACAUGGCAAACAAAUCUCGCUGGACCAUCUACCGAGAUUUGCCUGAAAAUAGUACGGCGUCCCUUACCUUCCCAACCAUGUCGUCUCCCACCUCUCCGGCUACUUCUCCUUCCUCGUCUUUGGUCACUCCACUUCCAUCCUCGCAGAUUCUUUUGUGAAAAUGACAAGCACGUUGGUUGGGGGUUCUCUGCGUCCACAGAGUUUCUGCAGAAUCCUCCAUUGCGUUCUCUCUCUGUUCGUCCUGCAGGGGAACAUGAAUCUUCUUCUGGGUUUCAAUCAUCAGAGGUUGUUUCCAAGAAGAUUAGGCUCACAUCCUUUAUUAAUCCUCAGGAUGAAAAGUUGGAAGCCUUGUCAGAACUAAAACCUCUGGGUUUGACAUUGAGCAAGACACCUUCAUUCGUCAACUUAUUAGAAAUGAAAUUAUCCCAACUUAUGGAUUCAAACUGUCUAUCUCUAACAAUGUCAGAGAAGUUGAAGACUUCAAACUUCAGUGCAUCAUUUCUUUCAAUUGUUAUCAUGGGGGUAAUCAACAAUCAUAAACUCAAAACACCCAAAUCAGGGAAAUGAAAGAAUUUGAAUAUUUUGUUAUUGCUUCCAACCCUGGUUACUCAAUCUGGCUGCAGAGGAAAUCAGAGAACUAUGGUGAGUUGGUCACAAAGUGCUACUUUGCGAAGCGAAAAUUGGUGUGGGAAAUUCUGGAAGAUGGUUUGAAGAGAGAGAUGGAAAUUCCCUGGUCUGAAAUCUUGGCCAUUAGAGCUACUACCCAAGACAACCAAUCGGGAAUUCUAGAACUCGAGGUCAUCAAUAUUAAGUCUAAAUCCAAUUCAACUCUGUUCCAAUGCAGCGUCGAUUUGAUUCGAAUUCAGCCCAAUGCUCAUGUGAAGAUCAUUUUGCAGCCUCGCCUCUGUACGCUCAAAUCGUACGGUUCAGAGCCCGCGGGAGUGGUCAGGAAGAGGCGGGAUGGUGACGUGGGCGACGACAAUGGAGGAUUCUGCAAAAACUCUGCGGAUGCAGAGAACCCCCAACCAUCGCCCUUGUCAUUUUCAUAAAAGAACCCACUAGGGUGGAAUUCGAGCAAUUGAAGACGAGGAAGGAGAAGUAGCUGGAGAGAUGGGAGAUGACGUAGUUGGGAGGGUAAUUGGCACGUGUAGCCAUCCCAACUAUUUUGAUCCUUUAAAUCUCGCUCCUUGGUCUAGCGAGAUUAUUUCAGAGUUAUUUUGGAAAAUAUUUUCCCAAACAGGAUAUUAUUUAAUAUCUUAUUUUAAAAUAAAAUAAAACGAAAAAAAAAAAAUCUUUGUUUUCAACUCCA